CAGAGACGUGUUAGGAAUCACUGCUCUUUGGCAUGUAUAGAGGCAGAUUAGGGCUCCAAGGUUCUUCACUGAGAAUGAAUCCUCUUUUUGAGCACAAGUAUCUUGUGUUUAAAUUAACUCAGCCGAACGCAAAUGUAAUGACACGCAAUACUGUUGUUAAUAAAGUAACAAAGGCCUCUGCUGAGAUGAAGAAAAACCUCAAAGCUGCACUUAGUGAAGUUGAGGUGAUAGCAACAACAACGGAUUGCUGGACAGCUCACCAUCGGAGGUUUAUUGGAGAAACCGCACACUGGUUUGACCCACAGACCAUGCAGAGAUCGUGUGCUGCACUGGCCUGCAAACAACUCAAAGGUUCACACAGCUUUUCAGCCCUGGCUGGAGCCCUGAAUGAUGUCCACACUAAAUUCAGAGAGAAAAUUGUUCGCACAACAACUGACAAUGGUUCAAAUUUCCUUAAAGCCUUCCGAGUGUUUGGACAGACAGAUGAGAACAAGGAGGGAGAAGAUGGAGAUGGUGGUAGGGAUGAAAAUGACGACAGUGACGAAGAGGAGAUCGAUUUUGUUGAUGCCGGAGCACUGUUGGAUGAGGAUGACCACUUAGAAUUUCAGUUGCCCAAGCAUCACCGGUGUGCAUGCCAUCUCCUCAACCUGGUGUCUACAGUUGAUGCUUCAAAAGCGGAGGGCAAUUAACUGUACAAGUGUGAGUCAAGGUCCACCUUUGCAAAAUGCUCCAGCCUGUGGAACAAAAGUGCAAGAUCAACUACUGCAGCGGAGGUAGUAGAAGACCACUGCAAGCUCCAACUUGUGAGGCCCAUCGUCACCAGGUGGAACUCCUUCUUUACUGCGGUUGAAAGACUUCAACGGAUCACAAUAGAGCAAGGCGAAGGAGCCCUCACAGCUGUCUGCGGUAAACUUGGCAUAACAAAGCUCACCCCAGUGGAACUGUCCUUUAUGACCGAAUAUGUGAAGGUACUGAAAUUCAAGACCUGCUGGACAACAUUCCAAAAUAUCCUCAAACUUGGCCUUGACUACAUCAGAAGCCACCUCGAUAGUCUCAUUGCUGGGAAAUCUUCAUCAUCAGAGGAAGACGACUUCUUUUCUUCCCUGAAGAAGGCUGGCCCUGUGAUGCUGGCAAGGCUCAAAGUACUGGACUCACAUGCACGACUCAGACACUUCUAUCACAAUAAAAGGCUUCAGGUCGAUUUAUUGCAGAACUCAAAAGAUUUCAAAAUAGAAUGAAGGGAGUCAAAAAUGCAAAGUACAAAAAACCCCACAAAAGUACAACAAAAAGCACUAAGGAUAUUCUCUGUAGGCAAAAACAAGACUCUUUUACUAAUGUGGGUAAUCACAAGGACAAACGCUGGACUGACGUGUAACACAGGGUUGGCACGAGACAAUCUGGCACAGGACAGGGGAAACGCAGACAUUAUAUAUACGAGGUAACAAGGAACAGGUGGAGACAAUCAGGCCGGUCAGACAAUCUGACAGGCGGGAAACACCAGGAAGUCAAGGGCCUGAAACGAGAGGAGAAUUAGUUUUCACAAUAAUAUAUAUAGACAACAGUGAACAACACCUCAACAGACCCGACGAGACAUAACAGGCCCUCCUGAAGCAACCCAGCAGCUGGAGGCAUACCUGGGGUGCCCAGGAGAACCAGCACUGAAGUCGAUCCCAGCUGUGCUGCAACUUUCACAGAAGCUCAAUGUAACACUCCCUGCCUCCGCUGCCUGUGAAAUACUGUUUAGUGUUGCAGGGAUGAUCUUCAGGCCAAGGAGGGAAUGCAUUGGUGCAAAAAACUUUGAGUUUGACUUGUUGCUUUUGCGACUGAACAAGGCCUAUUGGUAAUGUGUGUGUGUGUGUGCGUGUGUGCGUGUGUGCCCAGCAGUUUCUGUUCUAUGAGCUGCAUGCUCUGGUUCGAGUUGAGAAUGGGCUGUGUGUGUGUUUGUGUGUGUGUGUGUGUGCGCGCGUGUGUGUGCAUGUGUGCGUGUAGUGUAGUAGUGUUUGUGCUACACCUGUGUGGCCACCAGGGCUCUGUGACUCCAUUGUGUGUUGCAUUCAUUUGGUCGAGUGUAAUAAAGUCUAAUGAAUUUUUUUUACAUUUGUG